rnacentral:rRNA from 1 species
GUUUGAUCAUGGCUCAGAUUGAACGCUGGCGGCAUGCCUAACACAUGCAAGUCGCACGCGAAAGGGGGCAAUCCUGAGUAGAGUGGCGGACGGGUGCGUAACGCGUAGGAAUCUACCUCGUAGUGGGGGACAACCCGGUGAAAACCGGGCUAAUACCGCAUACGAUCCAUGGAUGAAAGCAGGGGACCGCAGGGCCUUGCGCUAUGAGAUGAGCCUGCGUCGGAUUAGCUAGUUGGUGAGGUAAUGGCUCACCAAGGCAACGAUCCGUAGCUGGUCUGAGAGGACGACCAUCCACCCUGGGACUGAGACACGGCCCACACUCCUACUGGAGGCAGCAGUGGGGAAUAUUGGACAAUGGGGGCAACCCUGAUCCACCAAUGCCGCGUGUGUAAAGAAGGCCUUCGGGUUGUAAAGCACUUUCUAUGGGGAAAAACAAGUUCGACCUUAUACCUCGGACCCUGAUGGUACCCACAGAAAAAACACCGGCUAACUCUGUGCCAGCAGCCGCGGUAAUACAGAGGGUGCAAGCGUUAAUCGGAAUUACUGGGCGUAAAGCGCACGUACGUGGUUUGGUAAGUCGAGUGUGAAAUCCCCGGCCUCACUCUGGGCACUGCAUUCGACACUGCCAAGCUAGAGUAUGGUAGAGGGUAGUGGAAUUUCACUGUGUAGCUAUGAAAUGCGUAGAUAUCGGGAUGAACAUCACUGGCGAAGGCGACUACCUGCUCCUGAUACUGACUCUGACGUGCGAAAGCGUGCGGAGCAAACAGGAUUACAUACCCUGGGUGCCCACUCCCUAGACUAUGUCCACUAGCCGUUGGUGAGGUUAAACUCAUUACUGGCGUAUCUACUUUAUAAGUUGACCGCC